GACAGAGAAAGGUCUUCCUUUGCUGUUGGUUCACCCCGCAAUGGCUGCUGCAGCCGGUGCACCGCGCUGAUCCGAUGGCAGGAGCCAGGUGCUUAUGCUGGUCUCCCAUGGGGUGCACAAAGGUGGGAUUCAUGUGAAUUACAGCCACCUGGCUGGGGGCAGAUGCCUGUAGGUGGUUGGGGAAAUUCAUUGUAGGAGAGAGCUUUUGUCUAACAGCAGCAGGCACACAGUAGGUACUUGAUGCUUGUGUUCUUUUGAGCUUGCUCAACACCUGCAUUGUGUGAGAGUCAUGGAGGAGUUCCAGAAUUGAGUGGAUUUGCUUCAAGAGAGUGGUGAGCGAGGAAAGUCUAAGAACUCUUCACAACUCUGAAAGGCUCUCUGGGUCCAGCCCACCAAGGGGAGUUUUAAAGUCCAUAUCGACAUCUCGGGCACUCUGGCAUGGAUUCUCAGAGGAACUGAAGUCAAGAGGGCACGUGCACUUACCUCCAGAUUGUCACCUGAGAUUCACCUUACGUGGGGUGCUGUCCCCAAAGUAGUCAAAGGAUGGAAACGGCGAGAAUCAGUCAGGCCAGAAGGGGAAACAGGAUUCUUGGGUUGAGCCUCUCGUCCUCACUGUGUGCCCCAGGAAAUCAAGCCGUCUCGGGUCCUCAGCUUGCUUGUCUGCACAGUGGGAAUGCCCACUCACUUGGGAACAGACUUCCCAGCUGGGCUUGAAAAUGAUCAUACUGAGCAGAGCAUUCCCGUCACAAACAUUGAGUGUCCUGCACGAUGAUGGGAUGGUGAUGGUGAUGGUGAUGGUGAUGGUGAUGGUGAUGGUGAUGGUGAUGGUGAAGGAUCCCUCCCAAAGCUACCAGGGAAUCCCAUGUGUGCAGUGAAAUUCCAGGGGAAGUUAUUCCUGGAGCAGCCAUGAGGAAUCGGAAAUGUAACUUCCCCUGGACUUAAAACCUGGAUACCUUCCAUCUGGGAGUCUGCAUGUAGACCCAAAGUCAGUCUCAGCAGGUAGUCCCACAUCAUCCUCAGAACUGCCCCUCAGGGUUCAGAACCAGAAAAGAUUUUCUUUGUUCCAACAAGUUCCAUGUCCUGUUCUUUUUUUUUUUUUUUGGUCCUGUUCCUUUUAUCAGUUUGGUAGCCGGGGGCGGGGUGGGGGUCUCUGAGCUAACUUCAGUUGUUUGCUGCCGUAAUUGUCUCAUGAUCACCCUGAGGGGGUUGUUACAUAUGUCUUUCCUCUCUAUAGAUUCUGAUCUUUCUUUUUUAACUUUAAACAUUAUGUUAGCAUCACUUUCUAAAUGUUAUUUAAUUCAACUUAUUUGCGUGUGUAUGUGUUUGAGGAAAAGGAGUGUUGUAAACAAUGAAUGAGUAGGAAAUGAACAGAUGAUGAAAAAUGAAUGAAUAAUAGAAUUGUGAUGCAUAUGGAAUGUAUCUGAUUGUAUAGGCACUAAAAAUCAUGUUGGGAACUGACAUUGCGGUGCUGGGUUCCGCUUCUGCCUUCGACGCUGACGUUCCAUGUGAGACUGCUGGUUCUAGUCCCAGAUGCUCUACUUCUCAUCUAGAUCCCUGCUAACGCACUUGGGAAGGCAGCAGGAGAUGGCCCACAUACUUGGACCCCUGCCACCCACAUGGGAGACCCAAAUGGAGUUCCCGGCUCCUGGCUUUGGACUGGCCCAGCCCCAACUGUUGUGGCCAUCUGGAGAGUGAACCAGUGGAUGGAAGAUUUCUCUCUCUCUCUUUGUCACUCUGCUUUUCAAAUAAAUAAAAUAAGUCUCUAAAAAUCAUUUGGGAAACCAGGAAAAUCCCAGGAAGGAAGGCGAAUGGGGACAACUGUAUUGCAGAUAUAUAAAACGACUUCAAUGAAGGAGGUGGAGGAAAAGGUGUUUAUCUACGUAACUUUGAAGAUGAGCAGAGUCCAUGAGAUCAAGGACACUUCACAGAAGCACCGUCCUGAACUUGAUAAAGUUACUUUCCACAGAGCUUUGAGGUUACAGUUUUGAUACUGCUAUGCAAGCAUCUUGGAAUUGAAAAAUUAAGUAAAUGGAUGGCAGAUGGUGGGAGUCAGGUUUCUCCUUGUUGCAAUAGAAGUUUGCAGAUCAGGAAAGGGAGAAGAGUGACUUAUGCAGUAGUGGGUUAGCGUUGGAGACAUCAGUUUGAAUUUAUGUAUAGCUGAAUACAGACACAGUUAUAGACUUGUAUGCACAGAGAAAGGGGUGUUUAGCCUACUGGGUAAGAUGCCCGUGUCUCACACCGAACUGCCUGGGUCUGCUUCCUUGUGUUCUGGCUCUCGAUUCCAGCUUUUCAUUUACUCAGAUCCCAGGAAGGAGUGGUGAUGGCUCAAGCAGUUGGGUUUGUGCCACUCACAUGGGAGACCUGGAGUGAACUGCCAGCUCCCAGCUUCAGCCAUGGCAGGCAUUUGAGGAGCCAAGCAGCAGAUGGGAGCUGUCUCUCUUUGCCUCUGUUUAUCUGCCUCUCAAAUAAAUACAAAUUUUAAAAAGUGAAACUUUUUAUAUACAUAUAUAUUGAUUACUAUGCGUAUAUGCGACACACACAUACAUGUACUUUUAUAUGUGAUUACUAUGCACACAUAUAUGCAUACAC